rnacentral:rRNA from 1 species
CCUACGGGAGGCAGCAGUGGGGGAUAUUGCACAAUGGGGGAAACCCUGAUGCAGCGACGCCGCGUGGGUGAAGAAGCGCCUCGGCGCGUAAAGCCCUUUCAGCAGGGAGGAAAAUGACGGUACCUGAAGAAGAAGCCCCGGCUAACUACGGGCCAGCAGCCGCGGUAAUACGUAGGGGGCAAGCGUUAUCCGGAUGUACUGGGGGUAAGGGGGGCGCAGACGGCGAUGCAAGCCACGAGUGAAAGCCCGGGGCCCAACCCCGGGACUGCACUUGGAACUGGGUGGCUAGAGUGCAGGAGGGGCAGGCGGAAUUCCUGGUGUAGCGGUGAAAUGCGUAGAUAUCAGGAGGAACACCGGUGGCGAAGGCGGCCUGCUGGACUGCAACUGACGUUGAGGUCCGAAAGCGUGGGGAGCAAACAGGAUUAGAUACCCUUGUAGUC